AUCUUUUGGAAUGUCAUAGGACUAAAUGGAUCCUCCAAAAGCACUAGGGUGCAUGAGCUCAUUAGAGCACAUCACCCUGAUUUUAUUUGUCUUUCUGAAUCAAUAAAAGAAAAUUUUACUAGUUCCCAACUAGAGGUCAUAGAUGUUGGCCUUGAAUUUGUGUGGAACUGGCUUCCAGCUGUGAAUACUGCUGGAGGGGUGUUGAUGGGUGUGAAAGAUGAUGUGUUUGAAAUUAUUAGCUGUGACAUUCACAUCUUUAGUGUUGCUCUCAUGCUAAGAAAUAAAAUAGACAACAGCAUAUGAAGACUAAUUUAUGUGUAUGGUUCUGCUUAUGAUGCUUUUAAACUAGACUUUAUUCAAGAGCCGCAUAGUGUUUUUGAUAUGUGGGAUGGCCCUACUAUGAUAGGUGGGGAUUUUAAUCUAGUCAGAGAGGGAUGUGACAAAAAUACUGGUGAGAUAAACCAGCAUUGGGCAGAUCUCUUUAAUGACUGGAUUAAUAAAUUUGGCCUUAUUGAGCUCAAAAACUCAAGGAGGAAAUUUACUUGGGGUAACAACCAGGAUUCUAUAGUUGUGACCACUUUAGAUAGAGUCUUCAUUACCGUGGAGUGGGAGAGCUUACAUCCUAACAUUCAGGUGAAAGCUCUGCCUAGAGUGGCUAGUGAUCACACUCCCCUGGUGGUUGAUACCCGCGCCAUUAAUUAA
rnacentral:rRNA from 1 species